rnacentral:rRNA from 1 species
UCCUACGGGAGGCAGCAGUGGGGAAUAUUGCACAAUGGGCGCAAGCCUGAUGCAGCCAUGCCGCGUGUAUGAAGAAGGCCUUCGGGUUGUAAAGUACUUUCAGCAGUGAGGAAGGGGUGGUGUUUAAUAGACACCAUUCUUGACGUUAGCUGCGGAAGAAGCACCGGCUAACUCCGUGCCAGCAGCCGCGGUAAUA